CCAAUCGAACUCGGAGAUAGCUGGUUCUCCUCGAAAUAGCUUUAGGGCUAGCGUCAUGUAAUAUAGCCAACGGGGGUAGAGCUCUGUAAACGACUGGGGCGGGCAACUGUACCCACCGUUAACAAACUACGAAUACCGUUGGUGGUACCAUGGCAGUUAGAACAUCGGGGCUAAGCUCGGUGCUCAAAAGGGAAACAGCCCAGACCAUCAUCUAAGGUCCCUAAAUUAACACUAAGUGGGAAACAAGGUGAAAUUUCUUAAACAGCGAGGAUGUUGGCUUAGAAGCAGCCAUUCAUUUAAAGAGUGCGUAACAGCUCACUCGUCAAGAGAUUUUGCGUGGAAAAUGUAACGGGGCUAAAGUGUUAUACCGAAGAUAUGGAUUUCGUUAUUCCUACGGGUUUAACGGAGUGGUAGAGGAGCGUUCCUAUCGGCAGUGAAGCUCAAUCGUAAGGUUGGGUGGAGCGUUAGGAAGUGAGAAUGCUGGAAUGAGUAACCAUAAGAAAGGUGAGAAUCCUUUCGGCCGUAAGAGCGAGGUUUCCAGGGCUACUGUAAUAAUCCCUGGGUUAGUCGGGCCUAAGCCGAGGCGUAGCAGCGUAGGCGAUGGACAUCAGGUUAAUAUUCCUGAACCGGUUAUAAUUUGUAUACUGUGUACGGUAAAUUAGUCGAAGCGGAUUAUUGGUAUAUAUCCGUCCAACUUAGCGGGAACGCAAAAGGAGUGAAAGUUAAUCUACGGAUUAAUGAUUUUGAUGAAAGUACUGGCUAGAAAAGCAGAUAUACGCGUGGUUAUAGCCGCCCGUACCGCAAACCAACACAGGUGCUCGAGUCGAGUAGACUCAGGCUUACGAGAGACCCUUCGCUAAGGAACUCGGCAAAACAGCGACCGUAACUUCGGGAUAAGGUCUGCCUCCGCAUCAUUCGAUGCGAGUCGUGUUUCAAGCAAUUAGGUUAAGAUUAAUGGUAUAUAUGAGUAUCUUAAACUUCUUUACCGAGAUAGAACAAGUCAAAUGGCUUAGCUUGGAACGUGGCAAACUCGUAUCAAACGAUGCGGAGGCCGCAGCAAAAGAGCCCACGGAACUGUUUACCAAAAACACAGGUCUCUGCGAACACGAAAGUGGAUGUAUAGGGGCUGACUCCUGCCCAGUGCUGGAAGGUUAAGGGGAGUGCUUUACGGUGCGAACUGAAGCCCCAGUGAACGGCGGCGGUAACUAUAACCGUCCUAAGGUAGCGAAAUUCCUUGUCAGGUAAGUUCUGACCCGCACGAAUGGAGUAAUCAUGUGGGCACUGUCUCGGCGAAGGACUCGGUGAAAGUGCAUUGGCGGUAAAGAUGCCGUCUGUCCAUGCCAGGACGAGAAGACCCCAUGGAGCUUUACUACAGCUUUACAUUGACACGGGUUACAUCAUGUGUAGCAUAGGUGGGAGGCUUUGAAACAGAUACGCCAGUAUUUGUGGAGCCACAGGUGAAAUACCACCCUUGAUGUAGUCUUUGUCUUACCAUUGCCGUUAUCCGGUAAUGGGACCGUGUAUGGUGGGUAGUUUAACUGGGGCGGUUGCCUCCUAAAGAGUAGCGG
rnacentral:rRNA from 1 species